rnacentral:lncRNA from 1 species
AAGAGUGGGAUGAACCUGGACACCCAGAGAAGGUGUGGCCACUAAGGGAGAGCGUCAUCUUCAGCACAGCUGGUGGUGCCGACCCUGUCUGAGGAUUGAGCACCAGGUUCGCAGCCUGCUUCUAACGCAUAUUAGAAUGUAAUCUUCGUAUGGAGUUGAAAUGGGGCAAGAGAAGCCUGACCUUCCUCCCAUCUCAGGGGGAGAAAUGUCAGAGAACGGAUGCUUACUGGACAAUGAGAUACCUCAUCAGAAUGGAGAACUCUGGUCUGGGAUACAUCAGGUAGGGAGUGUGGUCCUGUGACAGGGGCCUGGUCGGGAGCAGGUGAAGCUCCUACCGUCCUCAGAGGUUCCAGGGUUUGCAACCUGCUCACCUGUACCAAGUUCCCUGGCACUGUCCACUGCUCCACAACACCUUUCCUCUUUUAUAAUAUAAAGGAGAGGCA